GCGGUAAUACGUAGGGUGCGAGCGUCGUCCGGAAUCACUGGGCGUAAAGAGCUCGUAGGUGGUCUGUUGCGUCGUCUGUGAAAUUCCGGGGCUUAACUUCGGGGUGGCAGGCGAUACGGGCAUAACUAGAGUGCUGUAGGGGAGACUGGAAUUCCUGGUGUAGCGGUGGAAUGCGCAGAUAUCAGGAGGAACACCGAUGGCGAAGGCAGGUCUCUGGGCAGUAACUGACGCUGAGGAGCGAAAGCAUGGGGAGCGAACAGGAUUAGAUACCCUGGUAGUCCAUGCUGUAAACGGUGGGCGUUAGGUGUGGGGACCGGUUUGGUUUCUGUGCCGUAGCUAACGCAUUAAGCGCCCCGCCUGGGGAGUACGGCCGCAAGGCUAAAACUCAAAGGAAUUGACGGGGGCCCGCACAAG
rnacentral:rRNA from 1 species